rnacentral:rRNA from 1 species
GGUCAAGUUACUAAGGGCAUGUGGUGGAUGCCUUGGCGCCUGGAGCCGAUGAAGGACGUGGCGUGACUGCGAAAAGCCCUGGCUAGCUGUCAAGCGAGCUCAACCGGGGAUAUCCGAAUGGGGCAACCCAGCUCAGUUUACUGAGCUACCGCUGGUCGAACACAUAGACCAGAUGGAGGGAACUGGGGGAACUGAAACAUCUAAGUACCCUGAGGAAUAGAGAUUAUUCCCUUAGUAGCGGCGAGCGAACGGGGAGAAGCCCAAACCGUCUUCUGCGGAAGGCGGGGUUGUAGGACAGUUCAUAUGGAGUUACAAAACGGUUAGAUAACUGAAACGCCUGGGAAGGUGUGCCACAGAUGGUGAUAGCCCAGUAAGUGACAUCGAGCCGACUCCGAACUGUAUCCUGAGUAGUGCGGGACACGAGAAAUCCCGUGUGAAUCUGGGAAGACCACUUUCCAAGGCUAAAUACUCCAGGCGACCGAUAGCGUAUAGUACCGUGAGGGAAAGGUGAAAUAGUACCCCGAAAGGGGAGUGAAAUAGUUCCUGAAACCGCAUGCUUACAAGCAGUUGGAGCCAGUUUACUGGUGACAGCGUGCCUAUUGAAGAAUGAGCCUACGAGUUACGUUCAGUGGCAAGGUUAAGCGAUGAGAGUCGCGGAGCCGAAGCGAAAGCGAGUCUGAAUAGGGCCAUAAGUGGCUGGACGUAGACCCGAAACCGAGUGAUCUACCCAUGGGCAGAGUGAAGCGGGAGUAAUGCCCCGUGGAGGCUCGAACCUUCCUACGUUGCAAAGUAGUUGGAUGACCUGUGGGUAGCGGUGAAAUGCCAAUCGAACUCGGAGAUAGCUGGUUCUCCUCGAAAUGUAUCUAGGUACAGCCUCGUGUGUUUUCUUCUGGGGGUAUGGCUCUGAAUGGACUAGGGGGCAUAGCGCUUACCAAACCCAAUCAAACCGGGAAUACCAGAAGAUUAGAACACGGGAGUGAGACUGCGGGAGCUAACUUCCGUAGUCAAGAGGGAAACAACCCAGACCCCCGGCUAAGGUCCCUAAAUCCAUGCUCAGUGUGCAAGGAUGUCCAGUUGCAUAGACAACCAGGAUGUUGGCUUAGAAGCAGCCAUCAUUUAAAGAGUGCGUAACUGCUCACUGGUCGAGUGGCCGGGCGCCGACAAUGUAACGGGGCUUAAGCAUGGUACCGAAGCUAGGGGACCGCUUUUUAGCGGUCGGUAGAGGAGCGUUCUGUAUGCAAUGAAGCUGUGCGGGUGACCGUCGGUGGAGCGUCCAGAAGUGAGAAUGUAGGCAUGAGUAGCGAAAUUCAGGUGAGAACCCUGAACGCCGUAAGCCCGAGGGAUCCUACGCAAAGCUAAUCCGCGUAGAGUUAGGCGGGCCUAAGCUGAGGGCGAGAGCCGUAAGCGAUGGACAGCAGGUAAGUAUUCCUGCCCCACCAUAUGGGCGUUUGAGAUAUGAGGUGUGACCCGGAAGGAUAGACAGAGCGGAUCCUGUGGACAUGGUCCGUUUCUGCACCGUAGGCGUCUGGCGAUAGGAAAAUCCGUUGCCAGGUUAAGCGGAGGGUGCGGAGGGUAGUGGAGACUUUGUCAAAGCGACUCUGUUGAGUCCAUGCCGGCUAGAAAAGCAUCGAUAUCGAGUGCAUAUGGUGCCCGUACCGCAAACCGACACAGGUGGGCGACGGUAAGUACCGUAAGGCGAACGAGAGAACCUUCGUUAAGGAACUCGGCAAAAUAGCUCCGUAACUUCGGGAGAAGGAGCGCCCUUGUGAGUGAAGCACUUUACGUGCCGAGCAUUACGAGGGCCGCAGUGAGCAGGCCCAGGCGACUGUUUAACAAAAACACAGGUCUCUGCUAACCGGUAACGGGAUGUAUAGGGGCUGACGCCUGCCCAGUGCCGGAAGGUUAAGGAGAUGGCUGAGAGGCCAGAACUGAAGCCCCGGUGAACGGCGGCCGUAACUAUAACGGUCCUAAGGUAGCGAAAUUCCUUGUCGGGUAAGUUCCGACCCGCACGAAUGGCGUAACGAUCUGGGCACUGUCUCAACGAAGGACUCGGCGAAAUUGAGAUGGCCGUGAAGACGCGGCCUACCCGCAGCAGGACAAAUAGACCCCGUGGAGCUUUACUGCAGUUUGGCGCUGGCGUAUGUAAUUAGUUGUAUAGCAUAUGGGGGAGGCUUUGAACCGUGGCCGCUAGGCUGCGGGGAGCCACCAGUGGAAUACCCCACCUCUAAUUUUGUACUCCUCACCAGUGAGCAAGCACUGGGACAGCGCCUGAUGGGCAGUUUGACUGGGGCGGUCGCCUCCGAAAGAGUAACGGAGGCGCGCAAUGGUUCCCUCAAGGUGGAUGGUAAUCACCUGUUGAGUGCAUUGGCAUAAGGGAGCUUGACUGCAAGACUGACAAGUCGAGCAGGGGCGAAAGCCGGCCAAAGUGAUCCUAUGGUCCCGAGUGGAAGGGCCAUGGCUUAACGGAUAGAAGCUACCCCGGGGAUAACAGGCUGAUCCUUCCCAAGAGUUCACAUCGACGGAAGGGUUUGGCACCUCGAUGUCGGCUCGUCGCAUCCUGGGGCUGAAGAAGGUCCCAAGGGUUGGGCUGUUCGCCCAUUAAAGCGGCACGCGAGCUGGGUUCAGAACGUCGUGAGACAGUUCGGUCUCUAUCCGCUGUGGGCGCAAGUGGCUUGAGAAGAUCUGCCCCUAGUACGAGAGGACCGGGGUGGACGGAGCGCUGGUGUGCCGGUUGUCCCGCCAGGGGCAUCGCCGGGUAGCUAUCUCCGGAAAGGAUAACUGCUGAAAGCAUCUAAGCAGGAAGCCUACUUCAAGAUGAGGCCACUCACCGGAUAACCGGGUAAGACCGCCGGAAGACCACCGGCUUGAUAGGCCAGAUGUGUAAGCGCAGCAAUGCGUUCAGCUAACUGGUACUAAUGGUCGAGGACUUGACCUU